rnacentral:rRNA from 1 species
UACAGGGGGUGCAAACGUUGCUCGGAAUCAUUGGGCGUAAAGCGCACGUAGGCGGUUUGUUAUGUCGGAUGUGAAAGCCCUUGGCUCAACUGAGGAAGUGCAUCCGAAACUGGCAAGCUAGAGUACUAAAGAGGGUCGCGGAAUUCCCGGUGUAGAGGUGAAAUUCGUAGAUAUUCGGAAGAACACCAGUGGCGAAGGCGACUCACUGGACACGUAUUGACGCUGAUGAGCGAAAAGCUAGGGGGAGCAAACGGGGG